rnacentral:rRNA from 14 species
ACCCUGAAUAAGGGAGUGAAAUAGAUCCUGAAACCAUACGCUUACAAGCGGUCGGAGCAGCGUAAGUUGUGACGGCGUGCCUUUUGCAUAAUGAGCCUACGAGUUACCGUUGCUAGCAAGGUUAAGUGAUUAAGUCACGGAUCCGUAGCGAAAGCGAGUCUGAAUAGGGCGUUUUAGUUAGUAGUGGUAGACGCGAAACCGUGUGAUCUACCCAUGGGCAGGGUGAAGCUGUAGUAACAUACAGUGGAGGCCCGAACCGAUAUACGUUGAAAAGUGUUCGGAUGACCUGUGGGUAGGGGUGAAAGGCCAAUCAAACUCGGAAAUAGCUCGUACUCCCCGAAAUGCAUUUAGGUGCAGCGUUGA